GUUGAUUUGGCAGAAUAUUAGGAUGCGUUAAAUUUAGAAUUUAAUUAUAUAAUUGUGGUUAUAUUCAAUA
rnacentral:tRNA from 1 species